CGAAUCGCUAUAAAGACUGAUGAUUCAACUGAGCGCGAUAAUCCAAUUAAUUAUUAUUUCUGCAAUUACGUUUGCACGAGACAAUAUACGGGGAAGAUAAUCACUUGAAUAAAUUGAGUAAGUUAAUCGAGAGACGAUGUAAGUGCAGGAUACGAUUGUUUAAAUUUUUCUAUUAAUAUCACUCCCAGAUGUACGAUCGGAUCUAUAUUUGGCUUUAUUUUAUCGAUCAUUUGAAUUAACUUUGAUAACAUUCAAAACCCCAAUGCUGAUAUUCUCCGUAUAUUUUACGCGAUAACAAUGCCGAUGGGUUUCCCAUGUGAUCUAACGAUUGAUUAUUUCCCCUCCAACAAGGGACUUAGCCAAUUCAGCUCCCUCACAGGAAGCGACGACAAUUUCAAUUUACAAUUUGUUUAAAGAGCCUUACGUGACAUAUAGAAAGAUAGAGAAAAUUACGUAGAAGCAAAUCUUCAGCCGUAGCAAGGAUAAAAUUUUGUUUUCUUUUUAAGCAUGUUUAUAAUCAUUCUACUUGCCAGACUUUAUGGUGGUACUAGUGCUUGCCAAUAUUUCUCUUUCUGGAGAUAACAAUUCAAGAAGUAUGUGCGCUGGUGGUUCUAAAUUGUGCAGAGACAAACAUCCGCUUUCGGUCUCCCCGGCUAAAAAUCUUUUUGGUGCCGUGAACACAUAUCCUCUGUAAAAAAUAAAAAGAAACAACGCAAAAAAAUUAA